AAAUUCAACUCAGCUGGAUAGAGUACUCGGCUACGAACCGAGCGGUCGGAGGUUCGAAUCCUCCCGGAUGCACCA
rnacentral:tRNA from 1 species